AGUGGGAUGGCUGGGUCCUAUGGUGGUUCCAUUCUAGUUUUUCAAGGAAUCUCCAUACUGCUUUCCAGAGUAGUUGUACUAACUUGCAGUCCCACCAACUAU
rnacentral:pre_miRNA from 1 species